rnacentral:lncRNA from 1 species
GUGGAGCGUGGCUCAGGGCCUGGGCAGUAAGUGACGUAGCAGGUACCUGGACUGGCGGCUGCCUAGCUGGGAGACGGGUCGCUGCCUCUGGCCAGGGAAGGGUCUCCCUGGGCCCGCAGUUCUCGGCUCCCUGGAGGUAAGUCCCUCCGCCUAGUUUUCGUGCGCRUGGAACGAGUGGUUUAGUGGUUGGAGCGCUGCCCUGGCACGCUUCAAGAGCGUAGCUGCRUCCCCCAAAGCCCGUCUGCCCCUUGGGGCCGGGGGCUUGGAYGCGUGCCGAGCGAGAGCAGGGCUUUGCGGCCGGGCUCUGCCCCUUCRCUGGACGUUGCCUGCCGCGGGCCUGUGCRCUGUUCUGCCAACAGCAUGCGUGAACCAGGCGUGGAGACUGAAGGAUCAAGGGAAAAUAACGCCUUUUCCACAUCUUUCCUUUUGUAAACUGAAAGUUUGGGGUGGCGGUUUUACCUCUUUGUUGCUCAUACUUCCCUUUACUUUUCUUUGCCUUUUUUCCCAGCAGAGGGCACUCCGGGACUGGGCACCCUGCUUCCUGCACCGCAACUGGUGGGCUCAGGCUGGGACAGAUUGGCGUGUCAGGAGAGACACACCAUCAUCUUCGGAUGGGAACCAAGGCAGGAGAGACUGACCGCUGUGGCCAAAGUCACCCUGGGAGUCUGUGGAAUUGCAUCCUGAUCUUUGAAGUCCAAUUCCGGUGUCUUUACUGUCAGAUUAUCUUUCUGUUCCCUUGCUGCUGAAUGUAGAUUUAAGAUGCACAUGUGUAAUGAGCCAAAUGUGUUCUGCACGUGUUUGAUUAGCCAAAUUCUGACCCUAGGCACAUGUGCCAAGCUCUUCCUGAUCUAGUUAAGAGUGCAUUCAAGGWUGGGCUCACCCCAAAGAGUGCAAAACAAUGUAGGCAUUUAGUUUAUGAAAAAUUUCCUUCCUCGACUUGGGGUGGCAUUCCUUUACCCAUUUGGUGUUUUAACCAACUGGGGCUUUUCUGUAAGCUCUGGAGAAGCGAUGGCAGACCACUGGUUAAUAAGCUGGGUGGCUGAUUGUGUGAUCUUUUGUAUUGCCUGCACACCAGAUACUGAUUAAUGAUUAGCAUGUAACAAAUUAAUAAAUCAAUACCACAAACAAAUAAAC